rnacentral:misc_RNA from 1 species
UUUGUUCCUAAACCGUCCCUGUUUUGUUCCUUCAUCUUCUAUGACACAGCGUCUGUUAGGUCGGUUUUCAAGUUCUUCAAGCAUGUUUCCAAGAGGACACCUGCGGUAAAUUUUGAGAAUGAGAAAGAAAGUUAGAGGAAGAGAGAGAAUGUUACCGGUAGAUUAGAUGUUUUAAUUUGAUGGUAAGAGAGAGACAGAAAGACAGACUGACCGAGACAGAGAGAAAGUUAGCAUUAGUUGUAAGAUAAAUAAAGCUGUAAAUUAUAUGUAAAAUAAAAUGGAGUAAAAAAUGAUGAAAUGUUGCCGAUGUCAUUGUGCAGGAUAUACUGAACACAGAAAUGGAAGUUGUGAGUGCACGAGGUUUGGAGGUAGAACUGGUGGACGGUAUUGAGGCAGAGAACCAGGACCUGAGGACACUGCGACGGCUGAUACAGCUUGACGGAGAAAUGUAUUCACUGGAGACCCCAUCAUUUCAGUUAUGGUACAAAAAGGAUGUUGUGCAAAUCUUUACAAGUUAUUUGUAAACUACAGAUCAGUCAGAAGAGAUAUUCUUCUACCGGAGGACAUUAUGAUCAUUCAUUACUUCUGAACUUUCAGUGUUUCAAUUUUUUCAGUGUCAUUGUAAAACUUCUGUAAAACUAUUAAAGCGGUUUUUAACUGGGUGGUUUAACUCAGGUAUUAAAGUUUAGGUGAGGGCGGAGCUUAUUUCAUACAGGCGUGAAAGCCCUGAGUGAAACACGCUCAAGUGUGGAUUCAAACUAUUUACACAGAAUGUUAAAAUAUAUUACCUGUGUUAGAAGCAAUCGUAAUAUUGGUUGUUAUAACUAAAUAGUAAAAUCAUUAUCACUUUGAAUAAUUUUAUAUCAAACUAUUUUUAUUUAUUUUGUAGGUUGAGGACGUUAGCCAUUCACAAAUUAUGCUGUAACUGAUUUAUUCAUUGAUGAUAUUCAAUUACCGUACUGCAUAAUUUGUCAAUGCACUCUUGAUCAAAUUUACAUCUUAAGAAAAUAAGUUUAAGGCUGAUUGGGCUUAUUUAUACAACUAAAAAUGAUGUAUGUAUAUUGUAUAUCAAAUAUCAUGUAUCUAAUAUUUAUGCUUCAUAUAUUAUUUAGUUAAUAGAUACCAGGACAUGCAGGUUCAUGUAUUUAAAGAUUUCCUGGAAAGUGCUUUCCAUACACAUUUUUUUAUAAGUAUUGUGUUGAUAUUUGUGCAAUGAAGAUUUUCUGUUGUUAUACAAGAUAUUUUGUCUAAAUUAAAGAUUAUGAAAACAGAUGCACACUG